UCUCGACCCCUCAUUACCCAGGAUUUCCCCAUUCUGAAAACAAAGAAGAGAUUUUUUCUCCUAGAAGUUUCCGGUCGUUUUCCUGUAGAUACCGAGCUUCGCCGAGCUGAGCGGAAGGAACUUGAUGGGUAAGACGAAGUCGGUGAAGCAUGACAUUGAUUCUUACACUAUAAAUGGCACCAACAAAGUCGUAAGACCUGGUGAUUGUGUGUUAAUGAGACCACCAGAAUCUGAUAAGCCACCGUAUGUGGCAAGAGUAGAGAAUAUUGAGGCUGACCAUCAAAACAGUGAAGGUUCGAGUACGAUGGUACUACCGUCCUGAGGAGUUUGUUGGUGGCUGCAAACAGUUCCCCGGGACAAAGGAGCUAUUUUUGUCAGAUCACUAUGAUGUGCAGAGUGCACACGCUAUUGAAGGAAAAUGCAAAGUGCACUCAUUCAAGAACUACACCAAAUUGGAGAGCGUGGGCCCUAAGGAUUACUUCUGUAGGUUUGAGUACGAAGCUGACACAGGAGAGUUUACUCCUGACCGUGUUAUUGCUUUGUAUUGCAAGUGUAAGAUGCCCUACAACCCAGACGAUCUCAUGGUACAGUGUCAAGAAUGCAAAGACUGGUUCCAUCCCUCUUGUAUGGGAAUGACGAUUGAAGAAGCCAAGAAAUUAGACUAUUUCUUGUGUUCGGACUGUUCAUCAGAACACGAUGCGGAACAGCCUCUGAAUACAGUUCAUGUUUCACCAUCUCGUGAGCUAAAGGUACCAAUCUUGGGUGCACUACCUCCAAAUCCCAACCCACUCAUGUUUCAAGGUAGGCAUGAACAGAAUGAGCAACUUAAUCAACAAGGACAAUCCCAAAUGGAUGGUUACAUGAGUGCUAUUGUACCACCACACAUUGGGGCUGCCAAUUUUAGCUUGAAUCCAGUUUUGUUAGAAAUUUUGAAGGACGAGGGUCUAUUUGGUGGGCUUCACCAUGAGGAUCCGUAUAGUCAUUUGCGGAAUUUUCUCGCAGUAUGCGCGCUUCAACAUCAGUAUGACGUUUCUGAGGAUGCUCUUUGGUUACGUUUAUUCCCUUUCUCACUUCAAGGGGAGGCUUCAGAUUGGUUGGAUAAUCUUCCAGCCAUGUCUAUCUAUACUUGGAGAGAGUUAACAAAGGUAUUCCUUGCAAAGUACUUUCCUCCCGCUAGGACAGCUGAAUUGAGAAUGGGUAUUCUUCAAUUCAAGCAGAAACCGCAUGAAUCAUUGCAUGAAGCAUGGGACAGGUACAAGCUUUGCAUAAAGAAAUGCCCUAAUCAUGGGUGUCCCAAUCAAUUACUUUUGGAAACCUUCUACUUGGCUUUGGAUAAAGUUACAAGGUCCGUGGCGGAUAAUGCGGCAAAUGGAGCUAUCAUGAAUCUCUCGGUUCAAGAUGCGAGAGUCAUAUUAGAUAGGAUUUCGGAUAAUGCUCAUGCAUCAUACGUGGGAGAGCGAGGACACUCCUAGCACAGCAAGUACGGCAAGUCAAAUGGCUAGGGAUGAGACCAUGGCGCAACUUGUGACUCAAGUGGGGCUUAUUUCCAAACAACUUGCCGAGAUGGGGGUCAAGAAGGUCCAUGUGGUUGAUGCCACAAGGGGACAGUUUAUUAAUUCUUCACCCAAUGUGUGUGCUCAUUGUGCAGGGAAAGGAGUGACAACCCAAGAGCAUUGCGCCAUCAUUCUCCAGAGGAGGAAUCGAAUUAUGCUGGAAACUACGAAGGUGGCAUGAAUCAAAGGGGUAAUUAUUAAGGUGGUCGUCCAUCCCAAUCUCAGUGGCGACCACCCCAACAAUGGCUAAACAAUCAAGGUUGGAAUCAAAACACUCAAGGAGGUAAUUGGGGAGCCGGUACUUCACAAGCAUCUAAUGCACUAAGGCCUCCUAUGUAUCAACAAACAACCCAACAUCCACCCUACUACAAUCAAGGUCAGUCCUUCCAUCAACCCAAAGACAACAAUGGCAGCAAUGAACUUGCCAAGAUUAAAGGGUUGUGUGAAAAGAUUUUGGCUGAUUCGGGGAGAACAGAUGCAACACUUCAAGACUUGGGGCAAGUCCAAAAUACUGAACACUAGGCCCCAAGGUGCUCUACCAAGUGAUACCAUAGCUAAUCCUAGGGGUGAUUCGGGAAAUCUACAUUGGAUGGAAUAGUUGGAUGUUUGGGUUAGAUGUGAAGCUGGAUGUAUGACGAUAAGCCUCAGAAAGAUGAUCCGGUGAUACUCAAGAGUCAAGACUUGUAACUUUCCCAGCUAGAUUUGCAAUAUGUCUGGUUAAGGAAGAUACUUGGUUAUCAGUGCUUAUAGAACUGUUUUAUAUGAGGUGUGAAUUCAUUAAGUCGUAAACUAAUGGAGAUCUUUUCAUCUAGUCAGUUUGAGUUAAUUGACAAUGCAUUUCGAGGUCACGGCAGCAUCCUUGUGUGAUGGAUUCACGACAUAUCGAGCUGGUUGUACAGCUAAAAAAAGUUGUUUGUGCAACUUGCUUGAUUUAUAUGUUAAGUAGCACUCUCGUUUUAUAUACUAGAAAUACCAUGCCUUGUGAAUUUUACAGAUGAAGGGCUCAAUUUUUCCCAGAGGUA